rnacentral:rRNA from 1 species
GCGUGUGUGAAGAAGGCCUGCGGGUUGUAAAGCACUUUCAGUGGGGAAGAAAAGCGUGGUGCUAAUAUCAUCGCGUCUUGACGUAACUCACAGAAGAAGCACCGGCUAACUCUGUGCCAGCAGCCGCGGUAAUACAGAGGGUGCGAGCGUUAAUCGGAAUUACUGGGCGUAAAGCGUGUGUAGGUGGUUACUUAAGUCGGAUGUGAAAGCCCCGGGCUUAACCUGGGAAUUGCAUUCGAUACUGAGUGACUAGAGUACGGUAGAGGGUAGCGGAAUUCCCGGUGUAGCGGUGAAAUGCGU